ensembl:misc_RNA Metazoa_SRP Metazoan signal recognition particle RNA
GCUGGGCAUGGUGGCACACGCCUGUAGUCCCAGCUACUCAGGAGGCUGAGGUGGGGGAAUUGCUUGAGCCCAGGAGAUUGAGGCUGCAGUGAGCUAUGAUGGCGCCACUGCCCUCCAGCCUGGGCAACAGAGUGAGACCCUGUCUCAA